rnacentral:rRNA from 1 species
CAAUAGCGUAUAUUUAAGUUGUUGCAGUUAAAAAGCUCGUAGUUGGAUUUCGGGUGGGACGCUGCGGUCUCGCAUUGCGUUUGUACUGCUGCAGCCCUCCUUCUUGCCGGGGGCGGCCUCUCGGACUUCACUGUCUGGGGGUCAGAAUCGGCGAUGUUACUUUGAGUAAAUUAGAGUGUUCAAAGCAAGCUUACGCUCUGAAUAUAAUAGCAUGGGAUAACACGACAGGACUCUGGCCUAUCGUGUUGGUCUAUAGGACCAGAGUAAUGAUUAAGAGGGACAGUCGGGGGCAUUCGUAUUCCGUUGUCAGAGGUGAAAUUCUUGGAUUUACGGAAGACGAACAUCUGCGAAAGCAUUUGCCAAGGAUGUUUUCAUUGA